rnacentral:piRNA from 1 species
UGGUAGCUCCCUGCUGAUGUCCUCUCAGA